CUUCCAGCCGUCGAGGUACUUGUACCUCAACGGCUGGAAGGAGACCCUUCCAGCCGUCGAGGUACUUGUACCUCAACGGCUGGAAG
rnacentral:miRNA from 1 species